AUAGCGGUUCCCAUGUGCGGAGUGGUGGAGGUAGAUCUCAGGCGUGAUGGAGUGCUGUCUGAUUUUGAAUCAGAGGGAUGUACUCAGAGAACAGGGAGCCGCCAGCUUGUUUCAAUUGAGCCUAUUUGUUCAUUUGAUGUUGGUUUGAGUUUUUUUAACAGCUCAAAAGUGUCUCCCCCUCCUUCAAACUCUCUAUCCCAGAGUACAGGGUACUAGCUGUCCGGGGUCCAUGGCGGUCUUAAUAUCAGAUUGGUGAAAACGUGCCAGCAAGCUACACUGAGCACAAGCUGCAAGCAGAUGUUUGUCAUGGAUGGGCCGAUGGACUGACUUCAUACUGUUUCCUCUGAAAAUUGCUGUGGUGCAUUGCUGUGGACUGUCAUUUUGUCAUAGGCAAUACUGAUGACCUGAUGGAAAGUUCUGAAAGUUCUCUGAACAAAGAGAAGCUGCUAUUGGUGGAACAAAGAAACUUCCUGAUUGUGGGUCGAGAGACAGGUGGUGGUGGGAAAUGAGCUAUUAUUCUUUUUUUAUUGGGUGUUAACUUUGCUUUUUCAAGUGUAUCAUGCUAAGCUGUUUACUUUCUGUUGAGUGUCUGUAUACGUGGUUGGCAAUAUCUUUGUAAAGGUUCAAAUGCAAUGACCUUUGUUCCCUAUAAAAAUGAUGCAAUUUAAGAAGCAAUGUACCAAAUAAAAGUUUA